UUGUGAGUGACGGGUGUCAGUGUUCCUGCCAUGCUAUUCUGUCUUACUGUGUGUUACAGUGGACGUUUUGAAACUAUCUACAUUUGCGUAGUGCUGUGAAGUGUUUAGGAAGAGAGCAGAGGGACGCGCGGGGCACAACACUCCGUCACCACGAGGCACAGACUGGUAAAUAGUAGCCAGGCGCCUUGCAGCAGCAGCAGCAACAGAGGGGCCUUGAAGUAGUGGCAAGGCGUGUGCGUGCCCUGCGGCGCCAUCCAGCCUCACCACGCACCAACCUGAAGGGCACGGCAGAUACCACUUUGUAGAUGUGCGUUACUUGAUACUUGAGGCGGCGAGGCGAGGAGCGAGGCGAGGACUACUUGGCUGGGGCACUGUAUACCGAGUACUGGGGCACACCAACACGUGACGGAGGCCUGACUGUCGAAAGUGCCUCACAUGGGGCAGAACGCCUCCGCCCAACCACUCGCCGUCAGGAGUAAUCUCUUUCAUUGUGACGAACUGCAUCACCAUUGCAAGUAAUGGCUGUGUUGAAGUCACGUCGACCAGAGAGGGAACAAGUACACAUCUGAGUCAGCGGCAGUGAAAACAACGGUGAGCGCCCCGCAGUGCCUCCCCUCACCUCGCACACUGCACCUUAGAGCAGCGCACCUUGGCGCCCUGAAGACACUCGGCGCGCCACGUGACGGGCGCUGCUUCUGUCAGGCUGUUUUUCUUGUCCAUCACCACCACCACAACCACCGCCACAACUACCACUACCACUACCACCACCACCACCGCCGCCACCACCAACACCGCCGCUACCACCGCCACCGCGUGCCCCCACCAUCACUGUCGUGGUUCAGGGUGCUGUCAGGUAAUUAUGGGAAAAGUCGCUUUACCGUUCAUUAAAUUUCUUCCU